UGUCACGUAAGAUCAAACAACGUAGAGACAAACAAGUCUACUUGGAAAAGCAUUUCAUAUAGCACACAUAUUGAUCACGAUUCUAAGAACCGGGUGAAGAGCGUCCUUGUUUAGUAAAGCUCUCUGAAUAAGACAAAGAGUUAUAUAGAUCAAAUCUCACAUUAUGACACAAUUAUUGCAGAUCUUUGCAGUUUUAAUCAUCGGUGCCAUAACAAAUGUGACAUCAAUGCCAAUCAGAGAUAAGCUAGAUAAAGAUUAUAACAAGACUAUUGAAAGAAUAAAUGAAGUGCCUGAAAAAAUAUGUAUAAAAUGGGCAAUUAUCUCAUUUCUUGUAUCCUUUCAUGUAUCUGCUGCUAUACUUCUAUUUUUAAUUUUUUAUUGCAAACGUAUUGAUUGGGAGUUUCGUCGUAUACGGCGAAUCUGUGGCUUGUUCAGACCCCUAUGGCACUAUUUGGUUCUCUGGUUUUGUCGAGUUUUUCUUCGUACAAAUAUAUUAGAACCUGGUAGAGCAUAACAAAAAGUAUAAAAUCCAGCUUCUCCAUACACGACAAAUAUAAGACCAAAUAUAUAAUCUGCCAUUGAAAACAAGUUUGACAAAACAUGUAUAAUUACAAACGGUAAUGCUAUUGCAAAUUGUAAUGCUCCAAGUACGUAGCGUAACGAUCAGUAAAUAUUGCUGUGAUGAUAAAUUACGAAAUAAACUAUAAGUAAAAUUGGACAAUUUUAAUUAAUAAAGGCUACGGUC